rnacentral:rRNA from 1 species
GAUGAACGCUGGCGGCGUGCCUAAUACAUGCAAGUCGAGCGAACGGACGAGAAGCUUGCUUUUCUGAUGUUAGCGGCGGACGGGUGAGUAACACGUGGAUACCCUACCUAUAAUACUGGGAUAACUUCGGGACACCGGAUCUAAUCCCGGAUAAUAUUUUGAACCGCAUGGUUCAAAAGUGAAAGACGGUCUUUCUGUAACUUCUAGAUGGUUCCGCGCUGCAUUAGCUAGUUGGUAAGGUAACGGCUUACCAAGGCAACGAUGCAUAGCCGACCCGAGAGGGGGAUCGGCCACACGGGAGCUGAGAGGCGAUACAGACUCUACGGGAGGCAGCAGUAGGGAAUCUGCCGCAAUGGGCGAAAGCCUGACGGAGCAACGCCGCGUGAGUGAUGAAGGUCUUCGGAUCGUAAAACUCUGUUAUUAGGGAAGAACAUAUGUGUAAGUAACUGUGCACAUCUUGACGGUACCUAAUCAGAAAGCCACGGCUAACUACGUG